rnacentral:rRNA from 1 species
AUGAGUACUAGUUCACGGUGUCCUUUAUGUAUAUCAGAUUGCGAAAGUGUUAGGCAUGUGUUCUUUCUCUGCCCAAGAGUGCAAGAAGUGUGGCGCAUUUUGGGACUGGACUCUCUCAUCUCUGAAGUUUGCUCAGUUGAUCGUGAGGGAGGAUCAGUCUUGGCUGAUUUGUUUCUUUCCAAGAGCCCUAUAUAGCCGACCAUAUCUGGUGUGAAAAGAACUGAUCUUAUUGCCACUACCGUUUGGUACGUGUGGUGGGAACGACGACGUUUCACGCAUGAGCAUAUAUUGCAGGACCCAGUGAGAUCGGCGCAGACCAUCACUGCGCUUGCAAAGAACUUCGUCAGAGCCAGGGUGAAGCAUGCACGAAUUAGGAGGCAUGGUUGGCUGAGACCACCAAAGAAUAUUGUGAAGUUGAAUAUUGACGCUGGUUUUAAUUAUGACAGUAGUUCUGGAACAUGCAGUGAUAUCCCUUUUGUAGAAGAUGCGGCGACGGCGGAAGCACGAGGCCUUAGAGACGGACUCAUACUUGCCAAUGACUUGGGUUGCAACAAUCUUCACGUCGAGGCAGACUGCAUGGAGGUGAUUGAUACUAUGCAAAAUGGAGGGAAUUCUCUUGGCCCAGCUGCGGCCAUUUACGAAGAAUGCUCUUUUCUAGCUCGCAAAUUUAAUAUUAUAGAGUUUAAUUACUGUCCUAGGGAGGCCAAUAUGGCGGCAGAUGUGCUAGCCAGGGACUCGGAGAACUCUCGAACUAUUGUGUGGAAGUCAGAGCCUCCGGGAUUUUUAGUUGAUGUUCUCUUAAAUGAUGUAUCCCUAUUUUCACAUGAAAUAUAA